GCCUAAAGCGUCCGUAGCCUGUUUUGUCAGUUUUCGGUUAAAUCCAUACGCUCAACGUAUGGGCUGCCGGAAAUACUGCAAAACUAGGGAGUGGGAGAGGUAGACGGUACUCGGGAGGAAGGGGUAAAAUCCUUUGAUCUCUCGAUGACCACCUGUGGCGAAGGCGGUCUACCAGAACACGUCCGACGGUGAGGGAUGAAAGCUGGGGGAGCAAACCGGAUUAGAUACCCGGGUAGUCCCAGCUGUAAACUAUGCAAACUCAGUGAUGCAUUGGCUUGAUGCCAAUGCAGUGUUGCAGGGAAGCCGUUAAGUUUGCCGCCUGGGAAGUACGUACGCAAGUAUGAAACUUAAAGGAAUUGGCGGGGGAGCACCACAAGGGGUGAAGCCUGCGGUUCAAUUGGAGUCAACGCCAGAAAUCUUACCCGGAGAGACAGCAGAAUGAAGGUCAAGCUGAAGACUUUACCAGACAAGCUGAGAGGUGGUGCAUGGCCGUCGCCAGCUCGUGCCGUGAGAUGUCCUGUUAAGUCAGGUAACGAGCGAGAUCCUUGCCUCUAGUUGCCACCAUUACUCUCAGGAGUAGUGGGGCGAAUUAGCGGGACCGCCGUAGUUAAUACGGAGGAAGGAAGGGGCCACGGCAGGUCAGUAUGCCCCGAA
rnacentral:rRNA from 1 species